rnacentral:rRNA from 1 species
AACGAACGCUGGCGGCAGGCUUAACACAUGCAAGUCGAGCGCCCCGCAAGGGGAGCGGCAGACGGGUGAGUAACGCGUGGGAAUCUACCCAUCUCUACGGAAUAACGCAUGGAAACGUGUGCUAAUACCGUAUACGUCCUUCGGGAGAAAGAUUUAUCGGAGAUGGAUGAGCCCGCGUUGGAUUAGCUAGUUGGUGGGGUAAAGGCCUACCAAGGCGACGAUCCAUAGCUGGUCAGAGAGGAUGAUCAGCCACACUGGGAUGGAGACACGGCCCAGACUCCUACGGGAGGCAGCAGUGGUGAAUAUUGGACAAUGGGCGCAAGCCUGAGCCGGCCAUGCCGCGUGAGUGAUGAAGGCCCUAGGGUUGUAAAGCUCUUUCACCGGUGAAGAUAAUGACGGUAACCGGAGAAGAAGCCCCGGCUAACUUCGUGCCAGCCGCCGCCGUAAUAC